GUAUAAUAAAUAUAUAUACAGGAUGAAUAUAACUCUUUUCCCUAAUUUGAAAAAUUUAUUUUAUACAAAGCUAGGUAAAAAUAGAAUUUUUGCACAUUUUAUCUCAACUCAAAAGUUGUUGUAUAAAAUAAUAAACAGUAUUUCCACAGUUUAUUUUUUUCCCUACAUUAGACCUCUUCAAUGUGUGCUCUGCUACAGGUACUGUUCUACAGGUAACAACCUGUAAAACAUUUAGUCAGUACUUGAUUUCUCCAUGUUUUCUCCAACAUCUCAUCAGUCACUGCAAGUAUUAUAUUAGUUUUCUAAGAACUGGAUUGAAAAACAAACUACACAAUGUCAACAGUCUUGUCACUCACAUUA
rnacentral:lncRNA from 1 species